rnacentral:rRNA from 1 species
UACGGAGGGUGCGAGCGUUGUCCGGAAUCACUGGGCGUAAAGGGCGCGUAGGUGGCGCGGGAAGUCAACGGUGAAAGUUCGGGGCUCAACCCUGAAUCGGCCGUCGAUACUCCCGGGCUCGAGCACUGUAGAGGCAGAUGGAAUUCCGGGUGUAGCGGUGGAAUGCGUAGAGAUCCGGAAGAACACCGGUGGCGAAGGCGGUUCUCUGGGCAUGUUCUGACGCUGAGGAGCGAAAGUGUGGGGAGCGAACAGG